AUUGAACGCUGGCGGCAUGCCUUACACAUGCAAGUCGAACGGUAACGGGCCUUCUGGUGCCGACGAGUGGCGUACGGGGGAGUAAUACAUCGGAACGUGCCCGAUCGUGGGGGAUAACGAGGCGAAAGCUUUGCUAAUACCGCAUACGAUCUACGGAUGAAAGCAGGGGACCGCAAGGCCUUGCGCGGACGGAGCGGCCGGUGGCAGACUAGGUAGUUGGUGGGGUAAAAGCUUACCAAGCCGAAGGUCUGGAGCUGGUCUGAGAGGGUGAUCGGCCACAUUGUGAGUGAGGCAGGGCAGAGACUCCGAGGGGGAGCCACGGUGGGGAAUUUUGGGGGAGGGGGGCGAGGGUAAUCCUGCCAAGCCGGGGGAAGGAUGAAGGACCUAGGGUUGGUAAAUGAUGUUGGUCGGAGGAUAGUACCUUUCUUUAAUACAGGAGGAUAAUGACGGUACCGGAAGAAUAAGCACCGGCUAACUACGUG
rnacentral:rRNA from 1 species